rnacentral:rRNA from 1 species
CCUACGGGUGGCAGCAGUGAGGAAUAUUGGUCAAUGGACGGAAGUCUGAACCAGCCAUGCCGCGUGCAGGAUGACGGCUCUAUGAGUUGUAAACUGCUUUUGUACGAGAAUAAUAGUUCUUACGUGUAGGGAUUUGAAUGUAUCGUACGAAUAAGGAUCGGCUAACUCCGUGCCAGCAGCCGCGGUAAUACGGAGGAUGCGAGCGUUAUCCGGAUUUAUUGGGUUUAAAGGGUGCGUAGGCGGAACAUUAAGUCAGCGGUAAAAUCGAGGGGCUCAACCCCUUUAAGCCGUUGAAACUGGUGAUCUUGAGUGGGCGAGAAGUAUGCGGAAUGCGUGGUGUAGCGGUGAAAUGCAUAGAUAUCACGCAGAACUCCGAUUGCGAAGGCAGCAUACCGGCGCCCGACUGACGCUGAGGCACGAAAGCGUGGGGAUCGAACAGGAUUAGAUACCCUAGUAGUC